rnacentral:rRNA from 1 species
CCUACGGGUGGCAGCAGUGGGGAAUAUUGGGCAAUGGGCGCAAGCCUGACCCAGCAACGCCGCGUGAAGGAAGAAGGCUUUCGGGUUGUAAACUUCUUUUCUCAGGGACGAAGCAAGUGACGGUACCUGAGGAAUAAGCCACGGCUAACUACGUGCCAGCAGCCGCGGUAAUACGUAGGUGGCAAGCGUUAUCCGGAUUUACUGGGUGUAAAGGGAGUGUAGGCGGGACGGCAAGUCAGAUGUGAAAACCACGGGCUCAACCCGUGCCCUGCAGUGGAAACUGGAGUUCUUGAGUACUGGAGAGGCAGACGGAAUUCGUAGUGUAGCGGUGAAAUGCGUAGAUAUGAGGAGGAACACCAGUGGCGAAGGCAGUUUGCUGGAGAGCAACUGACGCUGAGGCGCGAAAGCGUGGGGAGCAAACAGGAUUAGAUACCCGAGUAGUC